AGAUCUGAAAUUCCAGUCCAGCCUCCCAUUGUGACUUACAACAAAAACCAAGCGCCUACGGACUACGCACGUAGACAUUCGGCGCAAUCUCUUUCCUCCACCUCUCGCUCGCCGGAAAACUCCUCUCUCCGGUGACCCCAGUCGUCAUCCCCCGGUAAGGUCUCGCACAAACUUUUGGGGUUAGGGGCUUUGAUCAGAUACUUCCCAGAGCUCCACACCAGCUCGGACUCCGUUCAUCACAACACCAGAGCUCUCGGCGCUUCUGAGAGGAGCUGCCACUUUUGGAACUGGAGACGAUGUCAUUCUUGAGGCGCAGAAAGGUCCCGAAGACGCAAAUUCCGGGGCCUCAAGAAAUUGAGGGUGAAAGCGAGCACGGCGACAAGAAGACGAAACCGAGGCCGAAGCUCAAAGAGCCCAAGAGAUGGUCUUGCGUGGACAGCUGUUGCUGGUCCAUUGGGUGCAUAUGCUCGAUUUGGUGGUUCUUGCUUUUCCUGUAUAACGCAAUGCCAGCGUCAUUUCCUCAGUACGUGACGGAGGCGAUAACGGGGCCGUUAACGGACCCUCCCGGCUUGAAGUUGAGAAAGGAGGGCUUGACGGUGAAGCACCCGGUUGUGUUCGUGCCAGGAAUCGUUACCGGCGGGCUUGAGCUGUGGGAGGGGCAACAGUGUGCUGAGGGCUUGUUUAGGAAGAGGCUUUGGGGCGGGACAUUCGGGGAAUUGUACAGAAGACCAUUAUGCUGGGUUGAGCACUUGUCACUGGAUAAUGAAACUGGACUGGAUCCUUCUGGUAUAAGGGUCAGGCCUGUAUCUGGACUUGUGGCAGCUGAUUACUUUGCACCAGGUUAUUUUGUGUGGGCAGUCUUAAUCGCCAACCUGGCCCGCAUUGGAUAUGAGGAGAAAACCAUGUAUAUGGCUGCAUAUGACUGGAGAUUGUCAUUUCAAAACACUGAGGUCAGGGACCAAACUCUAAGCAGGAUAAAAAGUAAUAUAGAACUCAUGGUAGCUACAAAUGGUGGGAGAAAGGUGGUUGUUAUACCACAUUCAAUGGGUGUUCUGUACUUUCUGCAUUUCAUGAAAUGGGUUGAAGCACCAGCUCCAAUGGGUGGUGGUGGGGGGUUGGAUUGGUGUGCUAGGCAUAUAAAAGCAGUGAUGAAUAUUGGUGCACCAUUUCUUGGCGUUCCAAAAGCAGUUGCAGGACUUUUCUCUAUUGAAGCCAAGGAUAUUGCUAUUGCCAGGGCUUUUGCGCCUGGUGUUUUGGAUAAGGAUGUUUUUAGUCUACAAACUUUACAGCAUAUGAUGCGGAUGACCCGCACAUGGGAUUCAACCAUGUCAAUGAUACCAAAAGGCGGGGAUACCAUAUGGGGUGGCCUUGAUUGGUCACCAGAAGGGGACUUUGAUUGCUGUGCCAAGAAGCUCAAGAAUAAUGAUGCCCAAACUGCAGACCAAAGUGGGAAGGAAAGUUUGGGAUCUACAAAAAAAGUAAAUUAUGGGAGAAUCAUAUCAUUUGGGAAAGAGUUAGCUGACAUACAUUCCUCCAAAAUUGAGAGAGUGGAUUUCAGGGGUGCUAUCAAGGGUGAUAACCUUAUAAAUACAACCAAGUGUGAUGUAUGGACGGAGUACCAUGAAAUGGGUAUUGAGGGUGUCAAAGCUGUUGCUGAUUACAAAGUUUACACAGCUGGAUCAAUUUUGAAUCUGCUAAAUUUUGUUGCCCCAAAGUUGAUGGCGCGUGGUGAUGCUCAUUUUUCACACGGAAUUGCAGAAAAUUUGGAUGACCCUAAAUAUGAACAUUACAAAUAUUGGUCAAACCCCUUAGAGACAAAAUUACCGAAUGCUCCAGACAUGGAAAUUUAUACUAUGUAUGGUGUUGGAAUCCCCACAGAAAGGGCAUAUGUGUACAAGUUAACUCCUGCUGCUGAGUGCUAUAUUCCCUUUCAGAUAGAUACUUCAGCCGAGGGUGGAAGUGAGGACUCGUGCCUAAAAGGUGGAGUUUUUUCUGUUGAUGGGGAUGAAACUGUUCCUGUGUUAAGUGCAGGUUUCAUGUGUGCAAAAGGUUGGCGGGGAACAACCCGUUUCAAUCCCUCAGGUAUUCGUACUUACGUAAGGGAGUAUGAUCAUGCCCCUCCAGCUAAUUUCCUAGAGGGUCGAGGCACUCAAAGUGGUGCUCAUGUAGCUAUAAUGGGUAAUUUUGCAUUAAUUGAAGAUAUUAUUAGAGUAGCAGCAGGGGCUACCGGAGAGGACUUAGGUGGGGAUCGAGUUUACUCUGAUAUUUUCAAAUGGUCCGAAAAGAUCAACUUACAACUCUAGAUUCAUAUGGUGAGUAUCUGAAGCUCAUUGAUACAAUUUCCUUCAGACCUUGAAGUGAUAAUAUAUUGUUGAAGCAACUUUAAUUGAUACUAAAUCCCAAGAGCACGACUAAAAACCAGAAAUCGUGCUUGACUAACAACCAGGGGACAAUCCUCAUGCAUACUUGCUUCUAUACUGUGCUUGAAGGCACCUGAUGAACUCUUUCCUAGCAACGAUGGUGGUGGUAGUUUUAUACUCGAAGUGUAGCCUAAGGAAUGAGGUGCUGGUUGCUGAAGCAAAUGCAUCCAGAUUUAUAUUUCAUUCUUUCAGGAAGUGCUGAAUCUUGUUUAUGAACCUAUACCUGCAUUACACCGGGCUCCCUAGGUAGGUGCACUUCUGGAGUUUAUAGGUGCCUGAAAAAUUUUGAAUAUUCAUUUAAUUUAUUUGAUUAUUGUCAAUAUUCAUUGUAA